rfam:Picea glauca, whole genome shotgun sequence.
AUGUAAUGUAAUUCCUACAACAUUAAUGCACUGGGUCCCAUUAUAACUUUGUAGUUAAUCGUGCUUGGGAUAGAGUAUUACUAGGAUGGGGUGACCUCCUAGGAAGUCCUAGUGUUUUACAUG